rnacentral:tRNA from 1 species
GUGUGACUGGCUCAUUAGUAGAGCAUGCGACUCUUGAUCGAGGGGUUGUGAGUUCAAGCCCCAUGUUGGGCA